UGAUAUCCACUAUGCUAGCUUGGAUGUCCCAUCAAAACUGUCUACUUUUAGAUCAGAGCUCAUUGAAGCUGGUUCUUCAGCAAUUGUUAUUUCUAUGCUCGAUGAAGUUGCCUGGUUAUUGAAUUUGAGAAGAAAUGAUGUUCCACAUUCACCUGUGAUGUAUGCAUACUUACUUAAUUGUGGAAAUUGAUGGCCGCAAGUUGUUUAUUGAU